AAGUGUUACAGCUCUUUUAGAAUUUGUUUAGCGGGUUUUCUGGUUGCUAUCAGAAAGCUCAC
rnacentral:snRNA from 1 species